rnacentral:rRNA from 1 species
AGUCGAACGGCAGCAUGAUCUAGCUUGCUAGAUUGAUGGCGAGUGGCGAACGGGUGAGUAAUACAUCGGAACGUGCCCUGUAGUGGGGGAUAACUAGUCGAAAGAUUAGCUAAUACCGCAUACGACCUGAGGGUGAAAGUGGGGGACCGCAAGGCCUCAUGCUAUAGGAGCGGCCGAUGUCUGAUUAGCUAGUUGGUGGGGUAAAGGCCCACCAAGGCGACGAUCAGUAGCUGGUCUGAGAGGACGAUCAGCCACACUGGGACUGAGACACGGCCCAGACUCCUACGGGAGGCAGCAGUGGGGAAUUUUGGACAAUGGGCGAAAGCCUGAUCCAGCAAUGCCGCGUGUGUGAAGAAGGCCUUCGGGUUGUAAAGCACUUUUGUCCGGAAAGAAAUGGCUCUGGUUAAUACCUGGGGUCGAUGACGGUACCGGAAGAAUAAGGACCGGCUAACUACGUGCCAGCAGCCGCGGUAAUACGUAGGGUCCAAGCGUUAAUCGGAAUUACUGGGCGUAAAGCGUGCGCAGGCGGUUGUGCAAGACCGAUGUGAAAUCCCCGAGCUUAACUUGGGAAUUGCAUUGGUGACUGCACGGCUAGAGUGUGUCAGAGGGGGGUAGAAUUCCACGUGUAGCAGUGAAAUGCGUAGAGAUGUGGAGGAAUACCGAUGGCGAAGGCAGCCCCCUGGGAUAACACUGACGCUCAUGCACGAAAGCGUGGGGAGCAAACAGGAUUAGAUACCCUGGUAGUCCACGCCCUAAACGAUGUCAACUAGUUGUUGGGGACUCAUUUCCUUAGUAACGUAGCUAACGCGUGAAGUUGACCGCCUGGGGAGUACGGUCGCAAGAUUAAAACUCAAAGGAAUUGACGGGGACCCGCACAAGCGGUGGAUGAUGUGGAUUAAUUCGAUGCAACGCGAAAAACCUUACCUACCCUUGACAUGCCACUAACGAAGCAGAGAUGCAUUAGGUGCUCGAAAGAGAAAGUGGACACAGGUGCUGCAUGGCUGUCGUCAGCUCGUGUCGUGAGAUGCUGGGUUAAGUCCCGCAACGAGCGCAACCCUUGUCUCUAGUUGCUACGAAAGGGCACUCUAGAGAGACUGCCGGUGACAAACCGGAGGAAGGUGGGGAUGACGUCAAGUCCUCAUGGCCCUUAUGGGUAGGGCUUCACACGUCAUACAAUGGUGCAUACAGAGGGUUGCCAAGCCGCGAGGUGGAGCUAAUCCCAGAAAAUGCAUCGUAGUCCGGAUCGUAGUCUGCAACUCGACUACGUGAAGCUGGAAUCGCUAGUAAUCGCGGAUCAGCAUGCCGCGGUGAAUACGUUCCCGGGUCUUGUACACACCGCCCGUCACACCAUGGGAGUGGGCUUUACCAG